rnacentral:rRNA from 1 species
GCCCUUAGAGUUUGAUCCUGGCUCAGGACGAACGCUGGCGGCGUGCUUAACACAUGCAAGUCGAGCGGUAAGGCCCUUCGGGGUACACGAGCGGCGAACGGGUGAGUAACACGUGAGCAACCUGCCCCUGACUCUGGGAUAAGCGGUGGAAACGCCGUCUAAUACCGGAUACGACCUUCCACCUCAUGGUGGAGGGUGGAAAGUUUUUUCGGUCAGGGAUGGGCUCGCGGCCUAUCAGCUUGUUGGUGGGGUAACGGCCUACCAAGGCGAUUACGGGUAGCCGGCCUGAGAGGGCGACCGGCCACACUGGGACUGAGACACGGCCCAGACUCCUGCGGGAGGCAGCAGUGGGGAAUAUUGCGCAAUGGGCGAAAGCCUGACGCAGCGACGCCGCGUGGGGGAUGACGGCCUUCGGGUUGUAAACCUCUUUUACCACCAACGCAGGCUCCGGGUUCUCUCGGGGUUGACGGUAGGUGGGGAAUAAGGACCGGCUAACUACGUGCCAGCAGCCGCGGUAAUACGUAGGGUCCGAGCGUUGUCCGGAAUUAUUGGGCGUAAAGAGCUCGUAGGCGGCGUGUCGCGUCUGCUGUGAAAGACCGGGGCUUAACUCCGGUUCUGCAGUGGAUACGGGCAUGCUAGAGGUAGGUAGGGGGAGACUGGAAUUCCUGGUGUAGCGGUG